GAUGAAGAACGUAGCGAAAUGCGAUAAGUAAUGUGAAUUGCAGAAUUCAGUGAAUCAUCGAAUCUUUGAACGCACAUUGCGCCCGCCAGUAUUCUGGCGGGCAUGCCUGUUCGAGCGUCAUUACAACCCUCAGGCCCCCGGGCCUGGCGUUGGGGAUCGGCGGAGCCCCCCGUGGGCACACGCCGUCCCCCAAAUGCAGUGGCGGUCCCGCCGCAGCUUCCAUCGCGUAGUAGCUAACACCUCGCGACUGGAGAGCGGCGCGGCCACGCCGUAAAACACCCAACUCUUCUGAAGUUGACCUCGAAUCAGGUAGGAAUACCCGCUGAACUUAAGCAUGUCAAUAAGCGGAGGA
rnacentral:misc_RNA from 1 species